rnacentral:misc_RNA from 1 species
GAUGAAGAACGUAGCGAAAUGCGAUACGUAAUGUGAAUUGCAGAAUUCAGUGAAUCAUCGAGUCUUUGAACGCACAUUGCGCCCCCUGGUAUUCCGGGGGGCAUGCCUGUCCGAGCGUCAUUGCUGCCCUCAAGCCCGGCUUGUGUGUUGGGUCUCGUCCCCCUUCCCGGGGGGGCGGGCCCGAAAGGCAGCGGCGGCACCGCGUCCGGUCCUCGAGCGUAUGGGGCUUUGUCACCCGCUCUGUAGGCCCGGCCGGCGCUUGCCGAUCAACCAAAACUUUUUUCCAGGUUGACCUCGGAUCAGGUAGGGAUACCCGCUGAACUUAAGCAUAUCAAUAAGCGGAGGA